GUUGGGUAGAAAGAAUAUCUUGACCAUUUGGGGAAGAUUUUUAUAUGUGUUAAAGCCAGGCUGUAAUGGAGAUGUCCUGGGCCAUGUAAAUGAAUGCAUCAGAGCAAGAAGAUUGAAGAGUCCUUGGCCAUCCAGCUUGCCUUCCUAGGACUGCUUACACGUGGAUGAAAGGAAAAUACACCCUAUCUUAUUUAAGCCACCAUAGUUUGGAGCUUCUGUUACAGCAAGCAACACAUUUUAUCAAGGAUGACUGGCAUUUUGGUUUAAAGUGUGCAGUUACUCCACAACACUCUGUGAAGUAAACAGGUUUUUGGUGCAGCCACCCAAGGAGAGGACUAGGAGCAAAGCCAAGAACAGAAAGAGUCUGCAAAGGGUGUAAUGAGAGCUCUGGAUGAGCAGUAAUUUUACUCAGAUCUGAGAACUAGAAAGCUGGCUGAAAAACUGUAUCAUAAAGAUUGAAGAAACUAGAUGGGAAAUCAAUAUUCAUCUACAAUACACUUUAUUGACCAAUUACUUAAAUUUCAAAGAAGUUAAUUUGUGUUGCAGUAGCUUUGCAAUUGUUUUCUGAAGAGCUGAAGAAAUAACCCAAUCCUGUUUGAAGUGCAUGUUCGGUUUUCAGCGGGGCUUGUGUGCUGUGCUUUAGAGUACAACGGCGGGUCAGCAUUUUGGUGACAGCAUGAAAGGGCUUUAGUUUCAAGAAGCUUCUGUGAGGUCAGCUGUGGGCUCUCCUGAGACCAAAUUCUGAUCUAUGAUCUGGAUGAUGCAGUCUGCUCUUGAAAUGAGAUUUCUAACAGGAAUUAACCACCACAGCCUCUUUUUCCUCACUUCAAAAGCAAGCUGCUUUGUCAUCCUUCCUUUACUGAAAUUAUCACAAAAGAAGGGUUUGAGAGGGAGUUGUUCUGUUUAAGACAUUGCAGCAGAUAAGAAACAAAAUAAGAUGUGGGAGAUUGCUCACUGCUCCCUCCCAACACCAUUGCUUCUUACUCCCCUUAGAGAAUACCCUUAGUUUUAAUGUUCAUGAAUAAAAGAAGGAGCCUAUGAGUAAGAGUCUGAAUUUUUAAGGCAAUCAAGAAACAUACCAAGAGAGAAAAGAACUUAGGGAUGAACUGGAAGUGGAACAGGAAAGAAGCAAUCCUUUUUCUGUAUCGCCCCAAGUAAUGUUGGUCUUGUCAAAUGAAUCACAGCUUGAGUCUAGUUUCAGCAGUGUCUGAG
rnacentral:lncRNA from 1 species